rnacentral:rRNA from 1 species
AACGCGAAGAACCUUACCAGGCCUUGACAUCCUAGGAACCCUGAUGAAAGUUGGGGGUGCCCGCAAGGGAGCCUAGAGACAGGUGGUGCAUGGUUGUCGUCAGCUCGUGUCGUGAGAUGUUGGGUUAAGUCCCGCAACGAGCGCAACCCUUAUCCUAUGUUGCCAGCACGUAAUGGUGGGAACUCAUGGGAGACUGCCGUGGAUAACACGGAGGAAGGUGGGGAUGACGUCAAGUCAUCAUGCCCCUUAUGUCUUGGGCUACACACGUACUACAAUGGGCUUUAAUAGAGGGUAGCGAAGCCGCGAGGUGAAGCCAAACCCAAAAACAAGCUCUCAGUUCGGAUUGCAGGCUGCAACUCGCCUGCAUGAAGUCGGAAUCGCUAGUAAUCGCAGAUCAGCAUGCUGCGGUGAAUACGUUCCCGGGCCUUGUACACACCG